rnacentral:rRNA from 1 species
AACCUCAGUUCGGAUUGAAGGCUGAAAUUCGCCUUCAUGAAGCUGGAAUUGCUAGUAAUGGCAGGUCAGCAUACUGCCGUGAAUACGUUCCCGGGCCUUGUACACACCGCCCGUCACACCAUGGGAGUCGGAAAUGCCCGAAGUCGGUGACCGAACCGAAAGGAAGGAGCCGCCGAAGGCAGGUCUGGUGACUGGGGUGAAGUCGUAACAAGGUACC